rnacentral:piRNA from 1 species
UACAAGGAUUCUAUGGUAGAA